rnacentral:rRNA from 1 species
AGAGUUUGAUCCUGGCUCAGAACGAACGCUGGCGGCGUGGAUAAGACAUGCAAGUCGAGCGAGAUUUUUUCCUGUAGCAAUACAGGGAAAAGUCUAGCGGCGAACGGGUGCUUAACACGUGGGCAACCUGCCGAGAAGUGGGGGAUAGCUCGCCGAAAGGCGAAUUAAUACCGCAUGUGAUUAGAGAGGACAUCCUUUCGAAAUUAAAGUCGGGGCAACCUGACGCUUUUUGUGGGGCCCGCGGCCUAUCAGCUAGUUGGUGAGGUAACGGCUCACCAAGGCUUUGACGGGUAGCUGGUCUGAGAGGACGACCAGCCACACUGGGACUGAGACACGGCCCAGACACCUACGGGUGGCAGCAGUCGAGAAUUUUUGACAAUGGGGGAAACCCUGAUCGAGCGACGCCGCGUGGAGGAUGAAGGUCUUCGGAUUGUAAACUUCUGUCAUUGGGGAACAAGGUGCAUACGUUAACUGCGUGUGCAUUGAUAGUACUCGAAGAGGAAGAGACGGCUAACUCUGUGCCAGCAGCCGCGGUAAUACAGAGGUCUCAAGCGUUGUUCGGAUUCAUUGGGCGUAAAGGGUGCGUAGGCGGCGCGGUAAGUCGGGUGUGAAAUCUCGGGGCUUAACUCCGAAACUGCAUUCGAUACUGCCGUGCUUGAGGACUGGAGAGGAGACUGGAAUUUACGGUGUAGCGGUGAAAUGCGUAGAUAUCGUAAGGAAGACCAGUGGCGAAGGCGGGUCUCUGGACAGUUCCUGACGCUGAGGCACGAAGGCCAGGGGAGCAAACGGGAUUAGAUACCCUAGUAGUCC